CAGUCGCCGCGGUAAUACGUAGGUGGCAAGCGUUGUCCGGAAUUAUUGGGCGUAAAGGGCUCGCAGGCGGUUUCUUAAGUCUGAUGUGAAAGCCCCCGGCUCAACCGGGGAGGGUCAUUGGAAACGGGGAAACUUGAGUGCAGAAGAGGAGAGUGGAAUUCCACGUGUAGCGGUGAAAUGCGUAGAGAUGUGGAGGAACACCAGUGGCGAAGGCGACUCUCUGGUCUGUAACUGACGCUGAGGAGCGAAAGCGUGGGGAGCGAACAGGAUUAGAUACCCCCGUAGUCCCUGUCUCUUAUAC
rnacentral:rRNA from 1 species